rnacentral:pre_miRNA from 1 species
AAAAAGACAAACCCUGGGUUUCCGUGUCCAACUUUAAUUGUCCGUCUUAUAUGAUUUUUUUUUAUAAUUCGUAUUUUUAUUGUUGUUAGAUGAUAAAACAUGAUUAAUAUUUUAUACGUGACUUGUCUUUUUAAUUUUUUUCAUAAUUUUUUUAAAUAAGACGGAGGGUCAAACGUUGGACACGGAAACCAGGGUU